rnacentral:rRNA from 1 species
CCCUAGAGGAGCCUGUUCCAUAAUCGAUAAACCCCGAUCCACCUCACCCUCUCUUGCUUAGCCUAUAUACCGCCAUCUUCAGCAAACCCUGAUAAAGGUUACAAAGUGAGCACAAACGCCCUGCCGCCGCAAAAACGUUAGGUCAAGGUGUAGCCCAUGAGAGGGUAAAAAUGGGCUACAUUUUCUAUAUCAGAAAACUCCACGAAAACUCCUAUGAAACCUGGGAGUCCAAGGAGGAUUUAGCAGUAAAUUAAGAAUAGAGUGCUUAAUUGAACCAGGCCAUAAAGCGCGUACACACCGCCCGUCACUCCCCUCAAAUAUAUUUAAGGAACACUUUAACUAAACGCCCUGAUAUUUAUACAGAGGGGAUAAGUCGUAACAUGGUAAGUGUACUGGAAGGUGCACUUGGAU